CUUCUAAAAACCUCAACAUACUUAUCAGGGUCAUCUGAAAAUUUUCCCAGAUCUUGUUUGAUUUGUUUGAGGUCACUGAGAGAAAAGGACACAUGGACGUGAUAUGUCCAAAUUUGCCAUUUACUUCCUGUAAAGCCCUCCCCUUGAGGGCUUGAACAAAAUCAGUGAAGCUCAGUUGGUCCCAGCACCCGGAAGGAAGCUCCCCUGCUGUCAUUCCAAGCUCCUAGGGCACAGAAGGUGAGCCACGUGGGCACCAGAAGCAGCUCCCCCCCCCACCCCCGUGGAAAUGAGAAAACACAUAAACAAGCCUCAGAAACAGACUUCCAGGUCACCUACAGCAACCCCAAAGGGAAACGAGAUGGAACACUGAUACUCAACCACCUGGACUCCCUGAACUGGCAACAAAAGAGGAUCUGGGAAAAAUGAAAUCAGAAAUAAUUACUCAGAUAACAGCAGAGAUUUUGCUCAUGGUGCAAGACAUGAUUAAUAAAUCUAGAGAGGACACAGGUAAAAAAAUAGAGGAUUUGAGGAACAUGAUGGAAUCCCAACAUAGGAAACAAAUGGAAUCCAUAAAACAGAUACAAACAGAUUUCCAAGAGAUUAAAAACUCCAUCAAAAGUCUGCACAGCAGAAUGAACCAAUGUGAGGAUAGAAUUUCAGAUAUAGAAGAUAAGAUUGCAAUUAGUGAGGAGGAAAAGAAAAAUUGCUUUAAAAUUGUAAGGAAACAUGAGAAAUCAAUCUAGCAGCUGCUAGACGAUGCAAAGAAGAGUAACAUUAGACUGAUUGGAGUCAAUGAAGAAAGAGGAGAGAGUGCAGAUGACAUAAAAAAAAACUCUUCACAGAAGUGAUGGCAGAAAACUUCCCAAGGAGGGCAAAAGAACUUGACAUACAGAUAAGUGAGGCAUAUAGGGCUCCAGCUAACUUUAAUCAAAAAAAAUCUACACAUAGGCAUAUAAUAGUUAGGAUUCCAGAAAUCCAACAGAAGAACAAAAUUCUACAAGCAGUGAGAGAAAAGAAACAAAUCACAGACAAAGGAAAGCCCAUCAGAAUCACAGCAGACUUCUCAAUGCAAACCCUCAAG
ensembl:lncRNA